GCAGUACUUAGGAUGGUUAUGCUUCCACAGAGGAAAUGCCAGGAGAGGUGGCCCUGGAGCUAGAGGCCCUUAUGAGGUGCAGGAGGCACAGCGAGCAGAGCCCUGGGCACUGAGCAUUGUGUUCAGAGGAAACAGCUGCAUCCCAGCCAAGGCCGGAGUAACAGGUGUGUUCCCAACUGAGAAAACGGUGCAGUUUCAUCUUCUGAAUCCAAGAACGGAAGCACAAUGGGACCUGGGCAUCCAGUACUACUCACUCAGGAGCACAUAUGACCAGCCCCUCAGAGCCUCUGAGGUUACAUGACAAGGUCUGUGGAGAGGAGGCAGGACUGGCCUGGGCAGGAGGGGUGGUGGCCUGCGGACACACAACCCCGACCGCUGAUGCCCUUCGGCAUCAUGAGGCCCAUUGGUGUCGGGAGCCUUGUUCUGGAAUCACAUCCUUUCCCUCCCAGAGUUUGGCCACCCUGGAGAUGGAGAUGACACACAGCUGUCUCUCCUGGCCCAGAAUUUCAGCAGGUCACAUGCUGAGUCCGUGGUGCUCAGCCAGUGAUUCCAGCAUUGUUUCAGAGAAGCCUGAGGGAGCUGUCAGUCUCCCGUAAAUGGAGAGGCUGGGGUUCCAACAGGGCAAAGAGGAGACAAAACAGGUGGAGAGAGACGCCCGGGCCUGUCAACCACAAAGUAAAGAGGCUGGAACCGCACAGCUCCUGCCCGAGGGCCUUGGCAGGAUCUGUGUCCCCCACGGCCCACUGGGCAUGGACUCUGGGGAGGGGCAGAGGGGUUGGCCCCUCGCUCAGGCUCUGCUUCCCUGGCCUUCACCCACGUGAGCCACCUUCUGUUCGCCCUGGGACACUCCCUCUCACCACAGUGGUCUACUUUUGAGCCCACAUCAAGUAACUUGCGCAAAUAAAAGGAACAUUCUCAAGCUUGGGAAUUUAUUUCUGUGAAUACAGACUGAAGACUGUUAAGACACAUUCAGGCAUUGGAUGCAUCCGAUGAGAGAAAGAGAAUGUGUGUAAAUUACUGGAAAUGUGAUCCACUGACCACAGAAAUCAGGACGGAACCAGAACACCCACAUACGGCAGAGCUCCUGGGGAGACUGAGGUCCAGGGUGGGAGAG
rnacentral:lncRNA from 10 species